AUGAACGCUAGCUACAGGCUUAACACAUGCAAGUCGAGGGGCAGCAUUUCAGUAUGCUUGCAAACUGGAGAUGGCGACCGGCGCACGGGUGAGUAACACGUAUCCAACCUGCCGAUAACUCGGGGAUAGCCUUUCGAAAGAAAGAUUAAUACCCGAUGGCAUAAUUAGACCGCAUGGUCUUAUUAUUAAAGAAUUUCGGUUAUCGAUGGGGAUGCGUUCCAUUAGGCAGUUGGUGAGGUAACGGCUCACCAAACCUUCGAUGGAUAGGGGUUCUGAGAGGAAGGUCCCCCACAUUGGAACUGAGACACGGUCCAAACUCCUACGGGAGGCAGCAGUGAGGAAUAUUGGUCAAUGGGCGCAGGCCUGAACCAGCCAAGUAGCGUGAAGGAUGACUGCCCUAUGGGUUGUAAACUUCUUUUAUAUGGGAAUAAAGUUUUCCACGUGUGGAAUUUUGUAUGUACCAUAUGAAUAAGGAUCGGCUAACUCCGUGCCAGCAGCCGCGGUAAUACGGAGGAUCCGAGCGUUAUCCGGAUUUAUUGGGUUUAAAGGGAGCGUAGGUGGACAGUUAAGUCAGUUGUGAAAGUUUGCGGCUCAACCGUAAAAUUGCAGUUGAUACUGGCUGUCUUGAGUACAGUAGAGGUGGGCGGAAUUCGUGGUGUAGCGGUGAAAUGCUUAGAUAUCACGAAGAACUCCGAUUGCGAAGGCAGCUCACUGGACUGCAACUGACACUGAUGCUCGAAAGUGUGGGUAUCAAACAGGAUUAGAUACCCUGGUAGUCCACACAGUAAACGAUGAAUACUCGCUGUUUGCGAUAUACAGUAAGCGGCCAAGCGAAAGCAUUAAGUAUUCCACCUGGGGAGUACGCCGGCAACGGUGAAACUCAAAGGAAUUGACGGGGGCCCGCACAAGCGGAGGAACAUGUGGUUUAAUUCGAUGAUACGCGAGGAACCUUACCCGGGCUUAAAUUGCAUUUGAAUAUAUUGGAAACAGUAUAGCCGUAAGGCAAAUGUGAAGGUGCUGCAUGGUUGUCGUCAGCUCGUGCCGUGAGGUGUCGGCUUAAGUGCCAUAACGAGCGCAACCCUUAUCUUUAGUUACUAACAGGUCAUGCUGAGGACUCUAGAGAGACUGCCGUCGUAAGAUGUGAGGAAGGUGGGGAUGACGUCAAAUCAGCACGGCCCUUACGUCCGGGGCUACACACGUGUUACAAUGGGGGGUACAGAAGGCAGCUACCUGGUGACAGGAUGCUAAUCCCAAAAGCCUCUCUCAGUUCGGAUCGAAGUCUGCAACCCGACUUCGUGAAGCUGGAUUCGCUAGUAAUCGCGCAUCAGCCAUGGCGCGGUGAAUACGUUCCCGGGCCUUGUACACACCGCCCGUCAAGCCAUGAAAGCCGGGGGUACCUGAAGUACGUAACCGCAAGGAGCGUCCUAGGGUAAAACUGGUAAUUGGGGCU
rnacentral:rRNA from 1 species